rnacentral:rRNA from 1 species
GACGAACGCUGGCGGCGUGCUUAACACAUGCGAGUCGAACGGAAAGGCCCUGCUUUUGUGUGGUGCUCGAGUGGCGAACGGGUGAGUAACACGUGAGUAACCUGCCCUUGACUUUGGGAUAACCUCAGGAAACUGGGGCUAAUACCGGAUAGGAGCUCCUGCUGCAUGGUGGGGGUUGGAAUGUUUCGGCGGUUGGGGAUGGACUCGCGGCUUAUCAGCUUGUUGGGGGGGUAGUGGCUUACCAGGGCAUUGAAGGGUAGCCGGCCUGAGAGAGUGGCCGGCCACAUUAGGACUGAGAUACGGCCCAGACUCCAACAGGAGGCAGCAGAGGCGAAUAUUACACAAUGAGCGGAAGCCUGAUGCAGCAACGCCGCGUGCGGGAUGACGGCCUUCCGGUUGUAAACCGCUUUCGCCUGUGACGAAGCGUGAGUGACGGUAAUGGGAAAAGAAGCACCGGCUAACUACGUG